rnacentral:tRNA from 1 species
GGGCGGUUCGCAUAGCGGCAAUUGCUCGAGACUGUAAAUCUCGCGUCCUUCGGACUUCGCAGGUUCGAGUCCUGCACCGCCCA